rnacentral:snRNA from 1 species
GUGCUUGCUUCAGCAGCAUAUAUACUAAAAUUGGAAUGAUACAGAGAAGAUUAGUAUGGUCCCUGAGCAAGGAUGACACUCAAAUUCGUGAAGAGUUCCAUAACUUU